GCCAGACUCCUACGGGAGGCAGCAGUGGGGGAUAUUGCACAAUGGGGGAAACCCUGAUGCAGCGACGCCGCGUGAGUGAAGAAGUAUUUCGGUAUGUAAAGCUCUAUCAGCAGGGAAGAAAAAAGACGGUACCUGACUAAGAAGCCCCGGCUAACUACGUGCCAGCAGCCGCGGUAAUACGUAGGGGGCAAGCGUUAUCCGGAUUUACUGGGUGUAAAGGGAGCGUAGACGGCGAUACAAGUCUGAAGUGAAAGCCCGGGGCUCAACCCCGGGACUGCUUUGGAAACUGUGUUGCUGGAGUGCUGGAGAGGCAAGCGGAAUUCCUAGUGUAGCGGUGAAAUGCGUAGAUAUUAGGAAGAACACCAGUGGCGAAGGCGGCUUGCUGGACAGUAACUGACGUUGAGGCUCGAAAGCGUGGGGAGCAAACAGGAUUAGAUACCCGUGUA
rnacentral:rRNA from 1 species